rnacentral:rRNA from 1 species
GAUGAACGCUGGCGGCGUGCCUAAUACAUGCAAGUCGAGCGAACAGAUGAGGAGCUUGCUCCUCUGACGUUAGCGGCGGACGGGUGAGUAACACGUGGAUAACCUACCUAUAAGACUGGGAUAACUUCGGGAAACCGGAGCUAAUACCGGAUAAUAUAUUGAACCGCAUGGUUCAAUAGUGAAAGACGGUUUUGCUGUCACUUAUAGAUGGAUCCGCGCCGCAUUAGCUAGUUGGUAAGGUAACGGCUUACCAAGGCAACGAUGCGUAGCCGACCUGAGAGGGUGAACCGCCACACUGGAACUGAGACACGGUCCAGACUCCUACGGGAGGCAGCAGUAGGGAAUCUUCCGCAGUGAGCGAAAACCUGACGGAACAACGCCGCGUGAGUGAUGAAGGUCUUCGGAUCGUAAAACUCUGUUAUUAGGGAAGAACAAAUGUGUAAGUAACUAUGCACGUCUUGACGGUACCUAAUCAGAAAGCCGCGGCUAACUACGUG